AGCAUACCUGCUAUCAAGAAACCUGUUAUCAAGAAGCCUGAUAUCAAAAAACCUGAUAUCAAGACAUGCAGCACUGUCAAAUCGCUCCAGUACCUUGGUCGAGUGAAAUCGUUUCUGCUCAGAUGUCCGCUGGAGUACUUCCUCCGCUGGAGUACUUCGUCCGCUGGAGUACUUCGUAAUGUUGUUCUAAGGAUGAACAAAGCAUAGUGAUGUACACGUCUACAUAGCUGGGAAAGAUGAGGUCAUAGAUGAUGGUAAACCCCUUAGAAUGAAUGAAGAAUGGUGCAGUAGCAAGUUGUUGGGUUCUCUGCUAGAAAGUAGGAAAGAUGUCACCAGAAGAAUCAUGUUAGCCAAUGUAGCAUUCCAGAACUUCAAGAAGGUCUGGUGCCAGAGUAAGAUCCCCCUACAGAAGAAGCUGAAGGUCUAUGAGGCCCAAGUAGUAUCUAUCCUCAUGUAUAACUCUAGUUGCUGGGGAAUGCCUAAAUCGUACUGGGACAAACUAGAUGCAUGUCACCGUAACCACCUCAGAAAGAUCAUGAAUGUCAGCUGGCCACGCAGUAUGAUGUCCAAAGAUACCCUCUACAAACAGAGUAACUCUACCCCUAUGUCUGAGCGUGCUGAGUUAUCUAGGUGGAAGAUGCUAGGACACAUACUGAGGAGCGAUGAAAGAUCACCAGCUCAAGCUGCGCUGUGUUUUGCUGUCGAGAUGUGUAGUGAAGUUGGUAGACUCGGGGCUCACAGACGUAACCUCCUGCACCACCUGAAGGUUGACCUCUGGAAGCGCUUCAUCUUGCUGGAGUCGUAUGAUGAUAUUCUCCAUUUGAGAGAACUUGCUAGUAACCGUGGUUAUUGGAGUAAAUUGUUUAACUUUAUACUUGAGUACAAGUCAAUUUGAUUAUUGGGACAUAUAAUUUUACAAAGGAUCACGUUUCGGUUCUAAAUUAUUUUAGGAUUGUUGACAUUUG